GAUUGUCCCCCACCUUCCUGAGGGACUUGAGCCAGCCCUGUGCUGUCCAUGAUGUCUGCACACACACACACACCCACGUUGUGACCUCACAACAGGGAGCUGAGUGUCAGGCUCCUGUCCUGUCACCCGAGGUGUCCCGGGGCCGUCCACACUCCGAGACACCACAGCAGUGUGCUCAGGGAUGAGAAACCAGAGAUGCCACCAGGAGGCUGGACUGCAGAGGCGCAGGGGCCCUGCCCAUCCUUAAGUGCCACCAGUGUGUGCUGCACCCACGAGCUGUUCACCGCGGUAACCACCAUUCCUCAUUCUUCAGUGUAUGAGGGCUCCAAUUUCCCCACAGCCUCACCAACACUUGGUUCCUGUCUUUUGAUCACAGCCAUCCUCCUGGAAACCAGAAGGGACUAUGACAGAAUGGACAACAAAUCUGGAGAUCAUAUUCACGAUGCCAGGCAUGGUGGUGCAUAUCUGCAAUCCCAGUUCUCAGGAGGCUGAGUUUGAGACCUGCCUGGACUACACAGUGAGAUCAAGGCCAACCUGAACUAUACAGUGACAG
rnacentral:lncRNA from 1 species